UACGUAGGGGGCAAGCGUUGUCCGGAUUUAUUGGGCGUAACGAGCUCGUAGGUGGUUCGGUAAGUCGGAUGUGAAAUCUCCAGGCUCAACCUGGAGGGGUCAUUCGAUACUGCCGUGACUAGAGGUCGGUAGGGGAGUGUGGAAUUCCUGGUGGAGCGGUGAAAUGCGCAGAUAUCAGGAGGAACACCGGUGGCGAAGGCGGCUUGCUGGGCCUUACCUGACGCUGAGGAGCGAAAGCGUGGGGAGCGAACAGG
rnacentral:rRNA from 1 species